AACUUAAGCAUAUCAAUAAGCGGAGGAAAAGAAACCAACAGGGAUUGCCCUAGUAACGGCGAGUGAAGCGGCAACAGCUCAAAUUUGAAAUCUGGCCUCGGCCCGAGUUGUAAUUUGCAGAGGAAGCUUUAGGCGCGGCACCUUCUGAGUCCCCUGGAACGGGGCGCCAUAGAGGGUGAGAGCCCCGUAUAGUUGGAUGCCUAGCCUGUGUAAAGCUCCUUCGACGAGUCGAGUAGUUUGGGAAUGCUGCUCAAAAUGGGAGGUAAAUUUCUUCUAAAGCUAAAUACCGGCCAGAGACCGAUAGCGCACAAGUAGAGUGAUCGAAAGAUGAAAAGCACUUUGAAAAGAGGGUUAAAUAGCACGUGAAAUUGUUGAAAGGGAAGCGCUUGUGACCAGACUUGCGCCGGGCUGAUCAUCCGGUGUUCUCACCGGUGCACUCGGCCCGGCUCAGGCCAGCAUCGGUUCUCGCGGGGGGAUAAAGGCCCUGGGAACGUAGCUCCUCCGGGAGUGUUAUAGCCCAGGGCGUAAUGCCCUCGCGGGGACCGAGGUUCGCGCAUCUGCAAGGAUGCUGGCGUAAUGGUCAUCAGCGACCCGUCUUGAAACACGGACCAAGGAGUCAAGGUUUUGCGCGAGUGUUUGGGUGUAAAACCCGCACGCGUAAUGAAAGUGAACGUAGGUGAGAGCUUCGGCGCAUCAUCGACCGAUCCUGAUGUUUUCGGAUGGAUUUGAGUAGGAGCGUUAAGCCUUGGACCCGAAAGAUGGUGAACUAUGCUUGGAUAGGGUAAGCCAGAGGA
rnacentral:rRNA from 1 species